UACGUAGGGUGCGAGCGUUAAUCGGAAUUACUGGGCGUAAAGUGUGCGCAGGCGGCCAUGCAAGUCGAGUGUGAAAGCCCCGGGCUUAACUUGGGAAUUGCGCUCGAAACUACGUGGCUGGAGUGUGGCAGAGGAAGGUGGAAUUCCACGUGUAGCAGUGAAAUGCGUAGAUAUGUGGAGGAACACCGAUGGCGAAGGCAGCCCCCUGGGAUGUGACUGACGCUCAUGUACGAAAGCGUGGGGAGCAAACAGG
rnacentral:rRNA from 1 species